rnacentral:rRNA from 1 species
UACGAAGGGUGCAAACGUUGCUCGGAAUCAUUGGGCGUAAAGCGCCCGUAGGCGGCUCCUAAAGUCGGAUGUGAAAUCCCUGGGCUCAACCGAGGAAGUGCAUCCGAAACUGCGGAGCUUGAGUAUGGAAGAGGGUCGCGGAAUUCCCGGUGUAGAGGUGAAAUUCGUAGAUAUCAGGAGGAACACCAGUGGCGAAGGCGGGUCUCUGGGCCGUAACUGACGCUGAGGAGCGAAAGCGUGGGGAGCGAACAGG